GACGAACGCUGGCGGCGUGCCUAAUACAUGCAAGUAGAACGCUGAAGAGAGGAGCUUGCUCUUCUUGGAUGAGUUGCGAACGGGUGAGUAACGCGUAGGUAACCUGCCUUGUAGCGGGGGAUAACUAUUGGAAACGAUAGCUAAUACCGCAUAACAAUGGAUGACACAUGUCAUUUAUUUGAAAGGGGCAAUUGCUCCACUACAAGAUGGACCUGCGUUGUAUUAGCUAGUAGGUGAGGUAAUGGCUCACCUAGGCGACGAUACAUAGCCGACCUGAGAGGGUGAUCGGCCACACUGGGACUGAGACACGGCCCAGACUCCUACGGGAGGCAGCAGUAGGGAAUCUUCGGCAAUGGGGGCAACCCUGACCGAGCAACGCCGCGUGAGUGAAGAAGGUUUUCGGAUCGUAAAGCUCUGUUGUAAGUCAAGAACGGGUGUGAGAGUGGAAAGUUCACACUGUGACGGUAGCUUACCAGAAAGGGACGGCUAACUACGUGCCAGCAGCCGCGGUAAUACGUAGGUCCCGAGCGUUGUCCGGAUUUAUUGGGCGUAAAGCGAGCGCAGGCGGUUUGAUAAGUCUGAAGUUAAAGGCUGUGGCUCAACCGUAGUUCGCUUUGGAAACUGUCAAACUUGAGUGCAGAAGGGGAGAGUGGAAUUCCAUGUGUAGCGGUGAAAUGCGUAGAUAUAUGGAGGAACACCGGUGGCGAAAGCGGCUCUCUGGUCUGUAACUGACGCUGAGGCUCGAAAGCGUGGGGAGCGAACAGGAUUAGAUACCCUGGUAGUCCACGCCGUAAACGAUG
rnacentral:rRNA from 1 species